CUGCGGGAUAACAGAGAGAAAUUUCUGCUAAUACCGCAUGUGCCCUUUUGGGGAAAGAUUUAUCGGCUUAAGAUGAGCCCGCGUUGGAUUAGCUGGUUGGUAGGGUAAAGGCCUACCAAGGCGACGAUCCAUAGCUGGUCUGAGAGGAUGAUCAGCCACACUGGGACUGAGACGCGGCCCGGACUCCUACGGGAGGCAGCAGUGGGGAAUAUUGGACAAUGGGCGCAAGCCUGAUCCAGCCAUGCCGCGUGAGUG
rnacentral:rRNA from 1 species